rnacentral:rRNA from 14 species
UACUUCGGUGCUCACUUACCGGGACCCCUUCCGAGGACAGUUUCAGGUGGGGAGUUUGACUGGGGCGGUACAUCUGUAAAAAGGUAACGCAGGUGUCCUAAGGUUGGCUCAGGAAGGACAGAAACCUUCCGUAGCGCAAAAGGGCAAAAGCCAGCUUGAUGAUAUUUUCAGUGUGAAUAUUGACCCGGAAACGGGGGCCUAGCGAUCCUUUUGUUUGUUGCUGUGUCUUCAGCAAGAGGUGUCAGAAAAGUUACCAC